UGCAGUGUGCUCGGUCCUUAGGGAUAACUAGGUACAGUGUGCUCAGUCCUUAGGGAUAACUAGGUACAGUGUGCUCAGUCCUUAGGGAUAACUAGGUGCAGUGUGCUCGGUCCUUAGGGAUAACUAGGUACAGUGUGCUCAGUCCUUAGGGAUAACUAGGUACAGUGUGCUCAGUCCUUAGGGAUAACUAGGUACAGUGUGCUCAGUCCUUAGGGAUAACUAGGUGCAGUCUGCUCAGUUGGAGCUUUUGCAGACUAGAAAGAUAGAGCCUUCCUGACCUUCUGACGUUGA